rnacentral:rRNA from 1 species
CUACGUGCCAGCAGCCGCGGUAAUACGGAGGGUGCGAGCGUUAAUCGGAAUAACUGGGCGUAAAGGGCACGCAGGCGGUGACUUAAGUGAGGUGUGAAAGCCCCGGGCUUAACCUGGGAAUUGCAUUUCAUACUGGGUCGCUAGAGUACUUUAGGGAGGGGUAGAAUUCCACGUGUAGCGGUGAAAUUCGUAGAUAUGUGCAGGAAUGCCGAUGAUGAAGAUAGUUCACUGGACGGUAACUGACGCUGAAGUGCGAAAGCUAGGGGAGCAAACAGGAUUAGAUACCCUGGUAGUCCUAGCUGUAAACGAUGAUUACUGGGUGUGGGCAUGAAGAGUGUCCGUGCCGAAGCUAAUGCGAUAAGUAAUCCGCCUGGGGAGUACGACCGCAAGGUUGAAACUCAAAGGAAUUGACGGGGGCCCGCACAAGCGGUGGAGCAUGUGGUUUAAUUCGAAGCAACGCGAAGAACCUUACCAGGUCUUGACAUCCCUCUGACCGCUCUAGAGAUAGAGUUUUC